GGGCGUAAAAGAAGUGCGUAGGCGGGCGUAUAAGUCAGUGGUGAAAUCCCUGGAGCUUAACUCCAGAACUGCCAUUGAUACUAUAUGUCUUGAAUAUGGUGGAGGUAAGCGGAAUAUGUCAUGUAGCGGUGAAAUGCAUAGAUAUGACAUAGAACACCUAUUGCGAAGGCAGCUUACUACGCCUAUAUUGACGCUGAGGCACGAAAGCGUGGGGAUCAAACAGGAUUAGAUACCCUGGUAGUCCACGCCCUAAACGAUGGAUUACUCGACGUGUGCGAUAAACGGUACGCGUCUGAGCGAAAGCAUUAAGUAAUCCACCUGGGAAGUACGACCGCAAGGUUGAAACU
rnacentral:rRNA from 1 species